rnacentral:rRNA from 1 species
AGGACGAACGCUGGCGGCGUGCUUAACACAUGCAAGUCGUGGGCAUGGGGUAACCCAUGACCGGCGAACGGGUGCGUAACACGUGAGCGACCGUCCCUACGUGAGGGGGAUAGCCGGCCCAACGGCCGGGUAAUACCGCAUACGCUUGACAGGGGGCAUCCCCAGUCAAGGAAACCUCAGGGGCUCGAGGACGGGCUCGCGGCCUAUCAGCUAGUUGGCGGGGUAACGGCCCACCAAGGCGACGACGGGUAGCUGGUCUGAGAGGAUGGCCAGCCACAUUGGGACUGAGAUACGGCCCAGACUCCUACGGGAGGCAGCAGUGGGGAAUAUUGCGCAAUGGCCGAAAGGCUGACGCAGCGACGCCGCGUGUAGGAUGACGCCCGUUCGGGUGUAAACUACUGUUGCCCGGACGAACAGGAGAUUAGAUCUCCGUGACGGUACUGGGUGAGGAAGCGACCGGACUAACCGUCCGUCGCCAGCAGCCGC